UACGAAGGGUGCAAGCGUUAAUCGGAAUUACUGGGCGUAAAGGGUGCGUAGGCGGUUGUUUAAGUCUGUCGUGAAAUCCCCGGGCUCAACCUGGGAAUGGCGAUGGAAACUGGGCAGCUAGAGUGUGUCAGAGGAUGGUGGAAUUCCCGGUGUAGCGGUGGAAUGCGUAGAGAUCGGGAAGAACAUCAGUGGCGAAGGCGGUCUGCUGGGCCGUUGCUGACGCUGAGGCGCGACAGCGUGGGGAGCAAACAGG
rnacentral:rRNA from 1 species